ensembl:lncRNA
AUUUGUAACCUGUAAUACACCAAAUCCUGUCACAAAAAGUACAUUAUUACAAUAUUGGAUUUUGUCACGAUCUCGCUGGCAGAUGGCGCUGUGGCGGCGAUGUUCACGGAAAGCCGGAGGGCGCGUGCGUGUACGAACCAGAGCGAGCACAUGCUCGCGGGUUACAUAGGAACCAUGGAGACUUUGUUUACAAUGGCCAUGGGCGUUUGCUUCUGUUUUGUCUCCGCCUUGUUUAGUUAUUGGUGGAUAUUCGAGGGCGCGUCUCGGUUGUUACCAGCUGUCAGCGUUUAAGGCUGUCUCCAGACUAUCAGCGUAAGCUGAGAGAAUCCCUCACUCACAGGGAGGUGUAGAUGUAGACGAAUAUGAUGACGAGGAGAUUCAGGACGGUGCAAGCGAUCCCAAGGAACGCCAGGAUGGACUCUUCUCGGCUCUCGCUCUUCUGUUUCGGUGGCUCAUCGUGACCCACGGCAUGAUUUAGCAUGUUCCUGUGACGAGGAGUGAACAAUCGCCUCCUAAAGCCUCUCUGCAGAAGAGUAACACUGAGUAUCAUAACUGUCGAAUUCGCGUUAAUGUGUGAUACUAAUAAUAACACCACAUACUCUACAUGCACACAUAUUAUAUCUACUAUACUACAGGUAGAGUACUGUAACGCUCUAUACAUUAUAUCUACUAUACUACAGGUAGAGUACUGUAACACUCUAUACACACAUCUACUAUACUACAGGUAGAGUACUGUAACACUCUAUACACACAUCUACUAUACUACAGGUAGAGUACUGUAACGCUCUAUACAUUAUAUCUACUAUACUACAGGUAGAGUACUGUAACACUCUAUACACA